rnacentral:lncRNA from 1 species
ACACACACACACACAUUUAUAUUUUAAAGUGGCUUAUUGGACCUGUGCAGACAGCUCAUAGGGCAACCGGCGAUUGCCACCAACCUUGAGGACUUGGGUUCGAUUCCCUGGGAACCACGUGGUAGGAGAGAACUGACCUCCAUGCUUAAGUUUGUCCACACAAAAUAAAUUUUAAGAUGUAACGACAACAACCAAAUGGCUUUAUUUGAGAAGAUGAACAAGAGGGUGUGUGUGGGGGGGGUUAGGUUUAAUUUAGUUUUUCUUCUUUGUAGGAGCUGGGAGUGCGGACAUACAUGUCAACUACCUGGAAAUUAUCAAUGACUGCACGUGCCCAGCUCUUCUGGACCCUCUGAUGUUCUGUCACAUGGGAGCAAAUGGAGAGCUGGGACAUCCUUUGACCUCAGCCCUCAAAGGAUAAUUAACUUCUUGCUCAAUCCCUCAGCAUUUGACCAAAAUACCAAGAUAAAAAUGUAGGCCCGUGUUAGUACAAAAGGUCCUGCAUUCAACUGUCCUCCUUAUAUUGCCCAAGAAGUCUUGUGGAAUUCCAAGAAGAAUUCAAGGGGCCAGACCUGGAAUAUGCAUCAAUGAGAAUAAGACACUGACGAAGCUAACGACACUAACGGGGAAUGAGGAUAAUCGACUCCUGUCCUUUGUUUUACUCUUUAACCUAGUAAUAAAUCCCUUUAAAGGCC